CAGGGGGAUGAACUCAGGAAUGGACAGAUAAAAGGGACAACUCUCACUGAAUAUCGUGCUCCAACCCCGCCAAAGCAUUCUGGCUUCCACCGCUACCAGUUCAUGUUGUUUAAGCAGCAUCCAGACACACCAGUGUCACUCAGCGAGCAGGAGAAGUUAACCCGCGGUAAAUGGGAUCUUCAGGCCUUCAUCAAAAAGUCUGAGCUGGGGAAUCGUGUUGCAUCUCUGCAGUUUCUCACCCAAAACUACCAAGACUGAAGGAUACUCAGGUGCCUGAAGGAAGAAUCUAUACGUACAAUAAUAUAGCUUGAGAUUUUCCUUACUUUACCUAAAUUAAACAGACAUUAAAUCAUUUCUUCAAA